rnacentral:rRNA from 1 species
GACGAACGCUGGCGGCGUGCUUAACACAUGCAAGUCGAACGGAAAGGCCCUGCUUUUGUGGGGUGCUCGAGUGGCGAACGGGUGAGUAACACGUGAGUAACCUGCCCUUGACUUUGGGAUAACUUCAGGAAACUGGGGCUAAUACCGGAUAGGAGCUCCUGCCGCAUGGUGGGGGUUGGAAAGUUUCGGCGGUUGGGGAUGGACUCGCGGCUUAUCAGCUUGUUGGCGGGGUAGUGGCUUACCAAGGCUUUGACGGGUAGCCGGCCUGAGAGGGUGACCGGCCACAUUGGGACUGAGAUACGGCCCAGACUCCUACGGGAGGCAGCAGUGGGGAAUAUUGCACAAUGGGCGGAAGCCUGAUGCAGCAACGCCGCGUGCGGGAUGACGGCCUUCGGGUUGUAAACCGCUUUCGCCUGUGACGAAGCGUGAGUGACGGUAAUGGGUAAAGAAGCACCGGCUAACUACGUG